GCCCUUAGAGUUUGAUCCUGGCGCAGAUUGAACGCUGGCGGCAGGCCUAACACAUGCAAGUCGAACGGUAACAGGAAGCAGCUUGCUGCUUCGCUGACGAGUGGGGGACGGGUGAGUAAUGUCUGGGAAACUGCCUGAUGGAGGGGGAUAACUACUGGAAACGGUAGCUAAUACCGCAUAACGUCGCAAGACCAAAGAGGGGGACCUUCGGGCCUCUUACCAUCGGAUGUGCCCAGAUGGGAUUAGCUAGUAGGUGGGGUGUCGGCUCACCUAGGCGACGAUCCCUAGCUGGUCUGAGAGGAUGACCAGCCACACUGGAACUGAGACACGGUCCAGACUCCUACGGGAGGCAGCAGUGGGGAAUAUUGCACAAUGGGCGCAAGCCUGAUGCAGCCAUGCCGCGUGUAUGAAGAAGGCCUUCGGGUUGUAAAGUACUUUCAGCGGGGAGGAAGGCGAUAAGGUUAAUAACCUUGUCGAUUGACGUACGCCGCAGAAGAAGCACCGGCAACU
rnacentral:rRNA from 1 species